rnacentral:rRNA from 1 species
GAUGAACGCUGGCGGCGUGCCUAAUACAUGCAAGUCGAGCGAAUGGAUUAAGAGCUUGCUCUUAUGAAGUUAGCGGCGGACGGGUGAGGAACACGUGGGUAACCUGCCCAUAAGACUGGGAUAACUCCGGGAAACAGGGGCUAAUACCGGAUAACAUUUGAACCGCAUGGUUCGAAAUUGAAGGGCGGCUUCGGCUGUCACUUAUGGAUGGACCCGCGUCGCAUUAGCUAGUUGGUGAGGUAACGGCUCACCAAGGGAACGAUGGGUAGCCGACCUGAGAGGGUGAUCGGCCACACUGGGACUGAGACACGGCCCAGACUCCUACGGGAGGCAGCAGUAGGGAAUCUUCCGCAAUGGACGAAAGUCUGACGGAGCAACGCCGCGUGAGUGAUGAAGGCUUUCGGGUCGUAAAACUCUGUUGUUAGGGAAGAACAAGUGCUAGUUGAAUAAGCUGGCACCUUGACGGUACCUAACCAGAAAGCCACGGCUAACUACGUGCCAGCAGCCGCCGUAA